ACUAAUUAAUCUUGUAGCACAGAGAGACGACCGACCAUAUCAAUGCAGAAUGAAUGUAAUAAGUAAUAAUUUGUUGCAUUUCCUCUCUAGAGAUUGAACGUGCUAAGUAGUUACUCGGAUAGGUAGAGAGACAUAUACAGAGAGAGAUAAGGAAACCAAAAACAAUCAAGAAGAGAUUAUUGGUGAUUAAAAAUGAAAAGGAAAAGAGGAUCAGAGCAAAUACUGGGCAAGGAUGAGAUUGAUGAGUUCAAGGGGUCUGAAAUUAGGUCUGCAAUUUUAGAGCUCUCUAAGAUUUCAUCUCUUCAUCAGCAUGAGCCUGCUUCUGUUUGCGACUCAAAGAACGAUGUUGCUGCUGAUGCUGCAGCUACUACUGUGGCUAGCACUACUACUACUACAAGUACUAGUAUUGCUCAUUUCAAGACUCAUGAUCAUCAUAUCCCUACCAAAUCAUUUCUUCAUGUCUGCAAAUUUCUCUUGCUUCAAGUUCUUGAUAAGGUUGGUCCGACAAUGGCGGUAUUGAGACAAGAUGUGCAUCAAAAUAUUCGGAGAUUAGAGAAGCUACAUGACAUGGAUCCUUCCAUGUACAGAAAUGUAGAUGGAAUAUUGAAGAAAGAGGCCGGAGAAGGGACAUCGAGAAAAACCUAUAGCUGUACUCGAGCAUUGGUUUGGCUUACCAGGUCCUUGGAUUUCGCAGUAUCUUUGUUAGAGAAAUUAUGCAAGGAAACAUAUGGAAAUCUGAAAAAGGCAGUUGAAGAAUCUUAUGAGGUCACUCUGAAGCCAUGGCACCAAUGGAUAUCAACUGCUGCAUACCAGGUAGCUCUGAGACUGGUUCCUGGAGACGCCAAAACCUUCAUCAAUUUACUCAUGGCUCAAGAUGAAGACUACGACGACCUUAAAGAAGAAAUUCUAAGCUUGGUUUCUUUGCUUAAGCCAAUUCUAAACGAGGUUCAUUGUGUUCUGAGAAGCUUUAAAUCGGAUAGGUUAAAGUCCAACUCCAGAUGAAUAUCCAACCACGUAAACAACAGAUGGAGUUGCUUGUACGUACAUGAGUUGGUUUCUUAAGAAGGUUGUUAAGAUUUUGUACAUAAAGUGGUGGCUAAUUUGUAACUUUACUUACAUUCAGGUUUCAUAUCUUCCGAUUGUGGAAGAAAAAAAACUUUCCUCGUUCAACCGAAACAUCG